rnacentral:lncRNA from 1 species
AUGAGUCGGCUUUGGCCAAUUCAAAAUUGGCCAAGCAACUCAUCGAAGCUGCACUUCUCCCGAUCGAUAGGGAGAAUAGGAAAGAUUGGACUGUGUCUGAAAUAUUUUCAUCCUUCUAACCAAUGAUGCUCAGAGUAAGUUAAUGAUGCUCUUCUUCUUCUUUAUUUUCCUUCUUUUUUUUAUUUGAUCUUGUUUUUUUUUUUUCAGCUAGCACAUGAUAUGCAGAUAUUGGAGAGUGGGUAUCAAAAAAUCAUCGACUUUCACUGAAUGUGGAUGGAGAAAGUCGUGGCUGCGAAAGUCGAGAAAG